rnacentral:tRNA from 1 species
AGUAGGAUGGCUGAGUUAUUAAGGUGAUAGAUUGUAAAUCUAUUAAGGGGAGUAAUCCCUUCUACUA